rnacentral:rRNA from 1 species
CAAAAGACUUAGUCCUAACCUUUCUAUUGGUUUUUGCUAGACAUAUACAUGCAAGUAUCCGCA